GUUGAUCCUGCCAGUAGUCAUAUGCUUGUCUCAAAGAUUAAGCCAUGCAUGUCUCAGUACAAGCCGAAUUAAGGUGAAACCGCGAAAGGCUCAUUAAAUCAGUUAUGGUUCCUUAGAUCGUACCCACAUUUACUUGGAUAACUGUGGUAAUUCUAGAGCUAAUACAUGCAAACAGAGCUCCGACCGGAGACGGAAGGAGCGCUUUUAUUAGAUCAAAACUAAUCGGCGGCGGGUUCGCCCGUUCGUCGUACACCUUGGUGAAUCUGAAUAACUUUCUGCUGAUCGCAUGGUCUCGCACCGGCGACGCAUCUUUCAAAUGUCUGCCUUAUCAACUGUCGAUGGUAGGUUCUGCGCCUACCAUGGUUGUAACGGGUAACGGGGAAUCAGGGUUCGAUUCCGGAGAGGGAGCCUGAGAAACGGCUACCACAUCCAAGGAAGGCAGCAGGCGCGCAAAUUACCCACUCCCGGCACGGGGAGGUAGUGACGAAAAAUAACGAUACGGGACUCAUCCGAGGCCCCGUAAUCGGAAUGAGUACACUCUAAACCCUUUAACGAGGAUCAAUUGGAGGGCAAGUCUGGUGCCAGCAGCCGCGGUAAUUCCAGCUCCAAUAGCGUAUAUUAAAGUUG
rnacentral:rRNA from 1 species